UUUCCUGUAGUUCAGUGGUAGAGCGUCCGACCGGUGUGCGGAAGGUCAGAGGCUCGACUCCUGUUGCGGGGAGAA